rnacentral:rRNA from 1 species
UACGUAGGGUGCGAGCGUUGUCCGGAUUUACUGGGCGUAAAGAGCGCGCAGGCGGUCGUUCAAGUCGCGUGUGAAAGCCCCCGGCUCAACUGGGGAGGGUCACGCGAUACUGAUCGACUGGAAGGCAGGAGAGGGUAGUGGAAUUCCCGGUGUAGUGGUGAAAUGCGCAGAUAUCAGGAAGAACACCCGUGGCGAAAGCGGCUCUCUGGAACGGUACUGACGCUGAGACGCGAAAGCGUGGGGAGCGAACAGG